GUGGGGAAUCUUCCGCAAUGGACGAAAGUCUGACGGAGCGACGCCGCGUGAGUGAAGAAGGCCUUCGGGUCGUAAAGCUCUGUCAUCAGGGACGAACGGCCGGUGGAGUGGAAAGCCACCGGAUUGACGGUACCUGAGAAGGAAGCCACGGCUAACUACGUGCCAGCAGCCGCGGUAAUACGUAGGUGGCAAGCGUUGUCCGGAAUUAUUGGGCGUACAGCGCGCGCAGGUGGGAUCUUAAGUCCAUUUUGAAAGUUCGGAGCUCAACUCCGUGAUGGGAUGGAAACUGGGAUUCUUGAGUACCGGAGAGGAAAGCGGAAUUCGCCGUGUAGCGGUGAAAUGCGUAGAUAUGGGGAGUAACACCAGUGGCGAAGGCGGCUUUCUGGACGGUGUCUGACGCUGAGGCGCGAAAGCUAGGGGAGCGAACGGGAUUAGAAACCCCGGUAGUCC
rnacentral:rRNA from 1 species